UGGGGAAUUUUGGACAAUGGGCGAAAGCCUGAUCCAGCAAUGCCGCGUGUGUGAAGAAGGCCUUCGGGUUGUAAAGCACUUUUGUCCGGAAAAGAAAAUCCUUGGCUCUAAUACAGUCGGGGGAUGACGGUACCGGAAGAAUAAGCACCGGCUAACUACGUGCCAGCAGCCGCGGUAAUACGUGGGUGCAAGCGUUAAUCGGAAUUACUGGGCGUAAAGCGUGCGCAGGCGGUUUGCUAAGACCGAUGUGAAAAUCCCCGGGCUCAAACCUGGGAACUGCAUUGGUGACUGGCAGGCUAGAGUAUGGCAGAGGGGGGUAGAAUUCCACGUGUAGCAGUGAAAAUGCGUAGAGAUGUGGAGGAAUACCGAUGGCGAAGGCAGCCCCCUGGGCCAAUACUGACGCUCAUGCACGAAAAGCGUGGGGGAGCAAAACAGGAUUAGAUACCCUGGUAGUCCACGCCCUAAAACGAUGUC
rnacentral:rRNA from 1 species